UACUCACGACUGCGUGGACUUCCUGAUUGAGCACGUGUACGUUUCCAAGUGCUUGUAGUCGGCGGGUGCUAAAACAAAGUGGUUGUCUUAGCCCGGAACAGGCGUAGGGUUCCCGUCGCCCCCUCCUGAUAACUAAUUACCCCGCGGAGGAGCCAACGAAGAUCCCCACUUUUUUCGGGGGCGGCCUCUUUUUUAGGGGGUCCCAAAACUAAAAAAGGAACCCAAACAUUCAACAACGGAUGUAAUGGUUCUGGCAUCGAUGAAGAACGGAGCGAAAUGCGAUAAGUAAUGUGAAUUGCAGAAUUCAGUGAAUCAUCGAAUUUUUGAACGCACAUUGCGCCCGCCAGUAUUCUGGCGGGCAUGCCUGUACCGAGCGUCAUUUCAACCCUCGAACCCCUCCGGGGGAUCGGCGUUGGGGAUCGGGACCCCUCACACGGGUGCCGGCCCCUAAAUACAGUGGCGGUCUCGCCGCAGCCUCUCCUGCGCAGUAGUUUGCACAACUCGCACCGGGAGCGCGGCGCGUCCACGUCCGUCAAAACACCCAACUUCAUGAAAAGCUAACUUCGGACAAGGUCGAACAACCAUGGUAACUCCACG
rnacentral:rRNA from 1 species